rnacentral:rRNA from 1 species
UGGGGAAUAUUGCACAAUGGGCGAAAGCCUGAUGCAGCAACGCCGCGUGAACGAUGAAGGUCUUCGGAUCGUAAAGUUCUGUUGCAGGGGAAGAUAAUGACGGUACCCUGUGAGGAAGCCCCGGCUAACUACGUGCCAGCAGCCGCGGUAAUACGUAGGGGGCUAGCGUUAUCCGAAUUUACUGGGCGUAAAGGGUGCGUAGGUGGUCCUUCAAGUCGGUGGUUAAAGGCUACGGCUCAACCGUAGUAAGCCGCCGAAACUGGAGGACUUGAGUGCAGGAGAGGAAAGUGGAAUUCCCAGUGUAGCGGUGAAAUGCGUAGAUAUUGGGAGGAACACCAGUAGCGAAGGCGGCUUUCUGGACUGCAACUGACACUGAGGCACGAAAGCGUGGGUAGCAAACAGGAUUAGAUACCCUGGUAGUCCACGCUGUAAACGAUGAGUACUAGGUGUCGGGGGUUACCCCCCUCGGUGCCGCAGCUAACGCAUUAAGUACUCCGCCUGGGGAGUACGCACGCAAGUGUG